CCCUUCUUAGGGUUGCACCUGAAGAGUUUCCAGUCCUCUACUAGUCUUGACUCUGGGAGGGAGAGUCAAGCAGAGGCAUACCCAUUCCGUUCCUAGCUUGGGCAGUGGCUAGCGAGUGGAAGAUAAUCUGCUACAAGU